UUUAAUCAAGUAUUGUUAUCCGAUAUAAGUCUGUGAAGAAGGUUCAGACGUUUCUACCGCACGCCGUUCAGUUGCGACUAUUGGGUGGAUGUAAAUCGUC
rnacentral:ncRNA from 2 species